AUUCACCACCUUGACCUUGAUUCACUAGAGUCAACUUGUCAACCAAAAGCAUAUCGGAUUUCUGACCCUCUCUGAUCUCAUCCAGAAUACCACUCGUUAACUUCAACAUUCCCAAUUUAACACUAUUGUGAGUACACUCACAUACCAAACUCAAGUCUCUAAACUGCUCAAUUAAAUCCAAUUCCUUAACCAUUAACAUAGACAUAUGUAAUGAUUUCCGACUCAAUGCAUC
rnacentral:lncRNA from 1 species